GCCCAAGUGGCGGAAUUGGCAGACGCGCUAGAUUCAGGUUCUAGUCCGGGCAACCGGGUGGAGGUUCGAGUCCUCUCUUGGGCAC
rnacentral:tRNA from 1 species